rnacentral:rRNA from 1 species
CAGCCCCUCGAGUGGUGGGGAUGAUUAUUUGGCCUAAAGCGUCCGUAGCCGGCCGUGUAAGUCCCCCGUUAAAUCCAGCGUCCCAAGCGUUGGACUGCGGGAGAUACUGCUCGGCUAGGGAGUGGGAGAGGUGUGCGGUAUUCUGGGGGUAGGGGCGAAAUCCUUUGAUCCCCGGAGGACCACCAGUGGCGAAGGCUGCACACUAGAACACGUCUGACGGUCAGGGACGAAAGCUGGGGUAGCGAACCGGAUUAGAUACCCGAGUAGUCC